AUGGGGAUGGAUCAGGGGGCGGAGGAGGCGCGGCGGAUGGCGAGCCUGCAGGCGGCGCGGAGCGCGCUGCGGGCCGGGGUGGAGCGGUCGCGGGCGCUGAGCCACGCGCUGGCGCGGACGGGGGCCCGGGUCGGGGAGAUCCAGGCGCGGCUGGCGGCCACGGAGGCCGGGGUGCGCCCGAUCCGCGCGCCGCGGGACGCGCUCGAGGGGGCCGGCCCCAACAUCGACCGCGCCGUGGGGCCCGCCGCGGCCGUCCUCAAGGUGUUCGACGCCGUGCACGGCCUCGAGCCGCCGCUCCUCGCCGGGGCCGCCGCCCGGGAGGACCUCCCGGGCUACCUCGCCCUCGUCGCCCGCCUCGAGGAGGCGCUCCGCUUCCUCGCCGACAACUGCGGCCUCGCCGUCGACUGGCUCUCCGACAUCGUCGACUACCUCGGCAAGCGCAGCCUCGCCGACCCUCGCUUCGUGGCCGGCCUCGCCGGGGCGCUCUCGAAACUCAAGGGCGUCCCCGCAGCCGACCUCGACGCCGGCCUCCUCACCGCCGCCCUCGACGUGCUCGAGGCCGAGUUCUGCCGCCUCCUCGCCGAGCACUCUGCUCCGCUCGCGAUGCAGGAGGACCCCGACAAGGCCAAGCCCGCACCCGCCUCCAUCACGCCGCCGAGGAUCCCCGCCGCCGCCGUGCAGAAGCUGGGCCUCACCCUUGACCGCCUCGCCGCUAAUGGGCGGCUCAGCUACUGCGUGGCGGCGUACGCCGACGCUCGCGGGGACACGGUGAGCGCCAGCCUCCACGCGCUCGGCCUGGAUUACCUGCAAGACCAGACGCAGGAUGCUCAGGCGCUGAGCCCGAGCGUCGAGCUCUGGGGCCGGCAUUUGGAGUUCGCGGUGCGCCACCUAUUGGAAGCUGAGCGGAAGCUCUGUGUUGCUGUCUUCGAGCGCUGGCCAGAAGCCGCGGCCGCUUGCUUCGCGGACAUUGCGGCGCGCGCUGGAAUUCUUGAUUUCCUCAAGUUUGGCCGUGCCGUGGCUGAUGCCAAGAAGGACCCCAUCAAGCUCCUGAGGCUGCUUGAUGUGUUUGAUUCUCUCAGCAAGCUCAGAUUGGACUUCAACCGGUUGUUUGGUGGAAAGGCAUGCCUGGAGAUCCAAAGCAGGACCAGAGAGCUUGUGAAGAGGGUGGUGGAUGGCUCUGUUGAGAUUUUUGAGGAGUUGCUGGUGCAGGUGGAGCUGCAGCGCAAGAUGCCACCCCCAGCUGACGGCGGAGUGCCAGGCCUGGUUACCUUCGUCCCCAAGUACUGCAACCAGCUCCUUGGGGAGCAAUAUCGGCCUGUGCUCACACAAGUGCUCACCAUCCACCGCAGCUGGCGCAAGGAGGCGUUCAACGACAAGAUGCUCGUCGAUGCAGUGCACAACAUUGUUAAGGCCCUGGAGGCCAACUUCGACACAUGGGCAAAGGCGUAUGAGGAUAAGACACUGUCAUCUCUCUUCAUGAUGAACACACAUUCGCACUUCUUCAAGCACCUGAAGAGCACUAAGAUGGGGGAGAUCUUAGGCGAUGAGUGGCUCCGGGAGCAUGAGCAGUACAAGGACUACUACUCGGCAUUGUUUCUAAGGGAGAGCUGGGGAACGCUUGCGCCGCUGCUGAGCAGGGAGGGUCUGAUCUUGUUCUCCAAGGGUCAGGCUACAGCAAGGGACUUGGUGAAGCAGCGGCUCAAAUCGUUCAACGCCAGCUUCGAUGAGAUGUACCAGAAGCAGUCCGCGUGGAUCAUACCGGACAAGGAUCUGCAGCAGAGGGUGUGCCACCUUGUGGUGCAGGCUAUAGUGCCUGUUUACCGUAGCUUCAUGCAGAACUACGGGCCGCUUGUCGAGCAGGACAUCAGCGCGAGCAAGUACGUCAAGUACAGCGCUGAAGGCCUUGACAAGAUGCUUAGCACCCUCUUCAUGCCGAAGCUUAGGACUAGGAGGACUGCAAGCAUGCAGAUCAGAAACUCAAAUGGCAAGAUUGCCAGUGCAGUGACUGGGCUGCAGCGGAGUGCUUCAACAUUGCAAUAG
rnacentral:rRNA from 1 species